AGAAAUGUUUAGAGACUGUCGAUUUCUAGUUUUAACAAGAAAUUAGCAGUCACAUCAAAUAACUCCACAAAAAAUGAAAAGACCAUUUUGUCGGUGAUAUAGACGUCUGCACAUUUCAUUUCUCGAGGGCAUUUGUAUUUGCAUUAAGAAUACAUGUACUUUAAAUUUUUAGUUGAAGUGGGAGCUACACAUGUAGCGUUGACAUAAAGAUUUAGCAUUGGUAUUUGAUCCUUGCAACUUUAAAAUUUUAAGGAAAGUUUGUAAGAUGUGAGUGGAUAAAUCGCAUUUACUUGGAUAUGCAAGAAGAAAAAAGAAAAGCAGAAAAGUAUUGGAAAGCAAAACCUUUGAAAAGGCAUUUAAACAAAUCAAAGAAAAUCUUCAAAACGCUGGCUGCGUUAAUAUUAAUCAGGAUGCUCUCUACGUAUUUACACUGUGGAUCGAUUAUAUAAAAGAACUGAAAAAUGAAAACUCAAGAAUUGAGACAAAAAAUACAAAUUAUUCCCGGAUAGACAAUCUGUUCCAAAAUCUAAAUAAAAGGAUAGAGAUGUUAGAGAUGCAAUGGAAUGUCUCGUGGAAAGAGGAUUAAUUCAUAUGAGAACAUUUGAUGGUCGUGUUCCUCUUAUGAAAGCUUGGUGAUUCAUUUUUUUUAUAAACAGGGAUAGAUAUUUUAACUCAAAUUUAAAAUGACUACAUGUAUAGGCCGUAUAUAAUUUACAAGAUAUAUCAAAUGAAAGUAUGAAUCAAUACUUUGUUAAUAAAGUUAUUUACCACGAGUAAAUUUACUUGGUCACUUAAUUUUUCAUUUAGUGCAAUUAUUGUACUUAUGGAAUUAAAAAGCACCAACACUGCAAAACUUUUUGUCAAUCCUGCUGACGAAUUUAGAGAAUAAAUGCUAUUUUGUCAAAUCAAAUUGCAUAUCUCUAAAUUUUGAGAUUUAUUUCAAUUGAAUUUACUACAAUG